UGGGGAAUCUUGCACAAUGGGCGAAAGCCUGAUGCAGCAACGCCGCGUGCGGGAAGACAGCCCUAGGGUUGUAAACCGCUUUCAGCAGGGAAGAAACUGACGGUACCUGCAGAAGAAGAUGCGGCCAACUACGUGCCAGCAGCCGCGGUGACACGUAGGCAUCAAGCGUUAUCCGGAUUUAUUGGGCGUAAAGAGCUCGUAGGCGGUUCGGUAAGUCGGGUGUGAAAACUCUGGGCUCAACCCAGAGAGGCCACUCGAUACUGCUGUGACUAGAGUGCGGUAGGGGAGGCGGGGAAUUCCUGGUGUAGCGGUGAAAUGCGCAGAUAUCAGGAGGAACACCAGUGGCGAAGGCGCCGCCUCUGGGCCGUAACUGACGCUGAGGAGCGAAAAGCAUGGGUAGC
rnacentral:rRNA from 1 species